UAUAAUUCUGUUAUCAGGAUAGACUGAAGAAUUGGGAGCAAAAAUGCAGUCUACUAUGGGUACCGCAGGCAAGACCAACAAAGAAGAUGGCGGCUUUACACAAGCAGGAAGCACUGCCCCCAGGGAACAGGGUGGGGCUGCUCCAUGUAUGAGGCGAGAAACAGGUGCUCCACGCAAUGUCCCUCUCACUCAAGCCAAAAGGGAAUGCAUUUGCUGCACAACUGGGAAGUCUCCGAGUUGUUGAAUUCCAGUUUGACCCUUUCCAAAGGCUCAACCGUGUUGUCGGGGGUCAGUCGCUCGCUCUCGGUGUCUCUGUCCUGUUUCUCAAGGUCGCUGGGAGGCAGCCAGGGCCGAGGCCUGGGGACAGGAGACAGACGCGCCUCUGUCUCUCCCCACCCUCUGUGUUCCCAGCCGGGGCCGUGAUGACAAUGCCAGGAUUCACAAGCCCCUCGCAGAAACCACGGCGGCCGCCAGUCCGUGUGUGUCAGCGAAGAUAACAGAUGUCUUUCACAGGGAAGUAAUUACUUGAAACACAACUGGACAACCCCCCCUACCCUCCCCAAGAGGUUGCAUAGGGGGAGGACGCCUGGCUUGGGGGGAUGGGCGGUGAUGUGGUAGGCAGCCCCCUCCCGGGUAACCGUGAUCCCUUGACAGCCUACUGAGCCGAGCUGGCCUUGCUGGCGCAGCCCACAGCGCUGGGCAAGGCAAUUAUCAUGUCAGAGGCGGCACCUCGCUCAGGCUCCGCCCUUAAGCCUGGAGGGCGUGGCUGUGGGGGAGGGGCUUCAUGGGGGUGGAGGGGUUUGUGGCUGGAGGAAUUCACUCGAGGCUGUGGGGGAAGGGCAAGGCCUCAGUCCAUUGACUCUCAUGCAAAGCCUGAGAAAUGGGUCUGAAGCUCAAGGCUGCCUUUGGCCAAAGCUGGCACCAGUAGGUGUCACUGUAGGAAAGGAGGGGCCCCCUGGGGCUGUCUGCGGACUGCGUUGGUAAAAAUAGAUCUCGCCUGUGUUCCCACUGCCAAGUCGCCGCGCCUGGUGAUUUAUAAGGCUGCGAGCCGACGUGUGUGUAAAUGUUUUUGCGUGCGAGAUGUGUAGCCAACCGCGGGCUGGCUUUUUCAAACUUACAAGGAGAGAGCGAGCGAGCGAGUGAGCGAGCCAGCGAGCGACCGAGCGAGGGAGGGAGGGAGGGAGGGAAGGGGAGAGAGAGGAGGCAGCCAGGGUGGGAAGCACACGGGCCACUUUUAUGUAACGCUCCUCUGAUACACGCCGCAGUGGGGAUUUAUGCUCUCUUUGAAGUAAAUUGCAUCCCGGUGCACCAUAGCAUGAAAGUUAAGAUUUACCAUGGCUGCGACCUCCGAGACCCUGCUGGAAGCUAGAAUAAUUAGCACAGCGUUUGGCUGCCUCUCCUCCCGCUCGGCGGGCGGUGACAGGAGUGGCACUAAUAGAUCUUCCAGGCCUGGGCCCCGUGUGUUUGUCCUGGGGUCCGUGGUGACUGUGGGCGAAGAUGACCCUGGUCAAGUGGAGAAGUGGAGGCAGGCGAGCGGGCGGGGCGUGCCCUGGCCUGGGGGCUGGGGGCUGGGUGCAAAGGAGCAGGCUCAGGUGCUGUUCUGUCAGAGGGGGCUGGCAGGGCCAGGAUGAGCACUUUGGGAUCCUAGGCAGCCUGUCUGUACGACAGAUUCCAGAGCCAGACUCCAGGUGACUGUAGCUGGGCAUCCUGGGCUGCCUGGCCAGCUCAGCCCCCACCCCACCGCCAUUAGACCAGCUCCGGCAUUCAAUGCUUUUCCUGAGACAGAACCUGCCCCCCCACCCCACCCAAGCCCUGGCAGCUUUUCUCCCUCCCCUCCCCCUUCUGUAGGUCCCUUCCUUGCGUUCCUUCCCAGGGAGCCUUGCAGUUUCAUGUUGGAAAAGCUGAGGAGGGAACUUGGUCAAUGCAUUCCAAGCCCCACGGGAAAGUCCUAACAGCUGCUUGGUCACCCCCCAGCUCUGCCGCUCGCCAGCUGUGUGACCUCAGGCAAGUCCCAGCCCCUCUCUGGGCCUCAGGAUGGCGUUGCUAACAUUCGGUGACACGUGUGACUCUGCCCCCUCCCCGGGACACCUGCUUCUGCAGAGCAGACAAGUGAAGGCGCGGUUACAGGUGCUGUGACGGGCAGCCACCCCGGCGGCGGGAGAGGGGCCAGCUGGCAUUGCCCGGGGCAGCGGCUGUCAGUACCGGCUCACAAGGGCUUUCCUGCGGUUGCAGUCAGCUCCCAGGACCGAGUCACUCCUCCACAACGCCCAGCAGCUGGACUCUCACCACAUCCUCUUAAGGUUGCUCCGAAGAUGGUCUCCAUUUCACAUCUGAGGACACUGGGCUCUGGCCAGGAAGAGAGAUUUUGGCCAUCAAAUCCACUGGCGUGCAAACCUCAACUCUGCUGCCCUAGUCGGGUGAAGCGGGAUCGACGGGAAACUCUCAAGACCUUGGUUUCGUCAUCUGAGAAAUGGGCAUGAAGUGAACGUCGGUGAGGUCCUUUGAGGUCUAAAUGCUCGCAAGUGGCUGGAUUGCUGGCCUUGGAACCCGUGCCACUGGUUGCAUGCCAGUUUUGCCUUCCUGGCAUUGCAUGGGAUCUGGCACAGGUCAGGCUGGCAAAUAUUUGCUAAACUAAAUUACACCACUACCACUACAAAGGGCUCACUGUCGACAGUAGUCUCGGGGAAGUAGCAGACAAAGCUGCAAAGGCGACAGAAGGUUCUCGAAAGGAAACUGGGGGCCGCUGGUGUAGAAAGAGCUUAGGAAAGGGGAAGAACCGAGUUUAAAAGCUCACACAGGGCAGGCACCUGGUCCAGUAAUUGAGAUGUCUAUUGGGACACCGACGGCUCACGUGGGAGUGCCUGGGUUUAAGUCCUGCCUCGGCUUCCAAUCCAGCUUCCUGCUAGUGCGCACCCUGGGAGGCAGCCGAUGAUGGCUCAAGGACUUGGACCCCUGCCACCCACGAAGGAGACCUGGAUGGUGUUCCUGGCUUCAGCCUGGCUCAUCCCUGGCUGUUGCAGGCAUUUAGGGUGUAAACCAGCAGAUAGGAGCAUUUCCCGGGGCUGGCACUGUGGCAUAGUGGGUAAAGCCACCGCCUGCAGUGCCGGCAUCCCAUAUGGGCACCAGUUCGAGUCCUGGCUGCUCCACUUCCGAUCCAGCUCUCUGCUGUUGCCUGGGUAAGCAGUAGAGGAUGGCCCAGGUCCUUGGGCCCCUGCACCCACAUAGGAAACCUAGAAGAAGCUCCUGGCUCCUGGCUUCGGAUCAGCAAAACUCCGGCCAUCGGGGAGUGAACUGGGGAGUGAACCAGCAGAUAGAAGGCCUCUCUCUUUUGUCUGCCUCUCCUUCUCUCUCUGUGUAACUCUAACUUUCAAAUAAAUAAAUAAAUCUUUAAAAAAAAAAAGAGCA
rnacentral:lncRNA from 1 species